rnacentral:rRNA from 1 species
GACGAACGCUGGCGGCGUGCUUAACACAUGCAAGUCGAGCGAUGAAACGCCUUCGGGUGCGGAUUAGCGGCGAACGGGUGAGGAACACGUGAGGAAUCUGCCUUCCACUCUGGGAUAACUCCGGGAAACCGGGGCUAAUACCGGAUACUUUCAACUGGCGGCAUCGCCGGUUGCAGAAAGUUUUUCGGUGGAAGAUGACCUCGCGGCCUAUCAGCUUGUUGGUGAGGUAAAGGCUCACCAAGGCGACGACGGGUAGCCGGCCUGAGAGGGCGACCGGCCACACUGGGACUGAGACACGGCCCAGACUCCUACGGGAGGCAGCAGUGGGGAAGAUUGGGCAUGGAGGAAACUCUGACCCAGCGACGCCGCGUGAGGGAUGAAGGCCUUCGGGUUGUAAACCUCUUUCAGCAGGGAAUAAGCGAAAGUGAAGGUACCUGCAGAAGAAGCACCGGCUAACUAUGUGCCAGCCGCCGCCGUAA